GUCUAGAUCCAGCCUCAGUUGGUUAGAGUGUGGUGCUGAUAAUGCCAGGGUUGCAGGUUGGAUUCCUGUAAGGGACA